GGGUCCUUAGCUCAGUGGUAGAGCAUUUGACUACAGAUCAAGAGGUCACUAGUUCGAACCUGGUAGGGCCCU
rfam:Cucumis sativus cultivar 9930 chromosome 3, whole genome shotgun sequence.